AUUGAACGCUGGCGGCAUACUUUACACAUGCAAGUCGAACGGUAACAGGCCGCAAGGUGCUGACGAGUGGCGAACGGGUGAGUAAUGCAUCGGGACGUGCCCAGUCGUGGGGGAUAACGCAGCGAAAGCUGCGCUAAUACCGCAUACGAUCUAUGGAUGAAAGCGGGGGACCGUAAGGCCUCGCGCGAUUGGAGCGGCCGAUGUCAGAUUAGGUAGUUGGUGGGGUAAAGGCUCACCAAGCCAACGAUCUGUAGCUGGUCUGAGAGGACGACCAGCCACACUGGGACUGAGACACGGCCCAGACUCCUACGGGAGGCAGCAGUGGGGAAUUUUGGACAAUGGGCGCAAGCCUGAUCCAGCAAUGCCGCGUGCAGGAAGAAGGCCUUCGGGUUGUAAACUGCUUUUGUACGGAACGAAACGGUCCUGGUUAAUACCUGGGGCUAAUGACGGUACCGUAAGAACAAGCACCGGCUAACUACGUGCCAGCCGCCGCAGUAACAC
rnacentral:rRNA from 1 species